rnacentral:rRNA from 1 species
GUGAGGAAUAUUGGUCAAUGGGCGGGAGCCUGAACCAGCCAAGUCGCGUGAAGGAAGAAGGAUCUAUGGUUCGUAAACUUCUUUUGCAGGGGAAUAAAGUGCAGGACGUGUCCUGUUUUGUAUGUACCCUGAGAAUAAGGAUCGGCUAACUCCGUGCCAGCAGCCGCGGUAAUACGGAGGAUCCGAGCGUUAUCCGGAUUUAUUGAGUUUAAAGGGUGCGUAGGUGGUUUGAUAAGUCAGCGGUGAAAGUUUGCAGCUUAACUGUAAAAAUGCCGUUGAAACUGUCGGACUUGAGUGUAAAUGAGGUAGGCGGAAUGCGUGGUGUAGCGGUGAAAUGCAUAGAUAUCACGCAGAACUCCGAUUGCGAAGGCAGCUUACUAAGCUACAACUGACACUGAAGCACGAAAGCGUGGGGAUCAAACAGGAUUAGAAACCCCGGUAGUCC